rnacentral:lncRNA from 1 species
UUGCCCAAAUUAUAUGCAUCUUUAACUUCCAAAGAUACUUUCCUACUACCUUAUCAUUGCUAUCACAGGGUUCUCGGUGUUUGCAAAUCAAAUUUCUACUUGAAGAGGGCAGUCUAAUUUCAACUGAGUUUUGAUGUGCUCUUCUAUUGUUUCGGAUUAUAACACCUACUUAUUGCUGGGCUCCUCUCCUCAUAUCGUCUCUUCGUCAAUAUGAUGCAAUGAACACAGGUUGUAAUUCUCAACCAUGGUUCUGGAU